rnacentral:rRNA from 1 species
UACGUAGGGCGCAAGCGUUGUCCGGAAUUAUUGGGCGUAAAGAGCUCGUAGGCGGUCUGUCGCGUCCGUUGUGAAAACUCGAGGCUCAACCUCGGGCUUGCAGUGGAUACGGGCAGACUAGAGUGCAGUAGGGGAGACUGGAAUUCCUGGUGUAGCGGUGGAAUGCGCAGAUAUCAGGAGGAACACCGGUGGCGAAGGCGGGUCUCUGGGCUGUAACUGACGCUGAGGAGCGAAAGCGUGGGGAGCGAACAGG